rnacentral:rRNA from 1 species
AGCGAACGCUGGCGGCAGGCCUAACACAUGCAAGUCGAACGAAGUCUUCGGACUUAGUGGCGGACGGGUGAGUAACACGUGGGAACGUGCCUUUAGGUUCGGAAUAACUCAGGGAAACUUGUGCUAAUACCGAAUGUGCCCUUCGGGGGAAAGAUUUAUCGCCUUUAGAGCGGCCCGCGUCUGAUUAGCUAGUUGGUGAGGUAAAGGCUCACCAAGGCUACGAUCAGUAGCUGGUCUGAGAGGAUGACCAGCCACAUUGGGACUGAGACACGGCCCAAACUCCUACGGGAGGCAGCAGUGGGGAAUCUUGCGCAAUGGGCGAAAGCCUGACGCAGCCAUGCCGCGUGGAUGAUGAAGGUCUUAGGAUUGUAAAAUCCUUUCACCGGUGAAGAUAAUGACGGUACCCGGAGAAGAAGCCCCGGCUAACUUCGUGCCAGCCGCCGCCGUAAGAC